rnacentral:rRNA from 1 species
UUGCACUAGUCAGAUGAGUUGCGAACGGGUGAGUAACGCGUAGGUAACCUACCUCAUAGCGGGGGAUAACUAUUGGAAACGAUAGCUAAUACCGCAUGACAAUUAAGUACUCAUGUACUAAAUUUAAAAGGAGCAAUUGCUUCACUAUGAGAUGGACCUGCGUUGUAUUAGCUAGUUGGUGAGGUAACGGCUCACCAAGGCCACGAUACAUAGCCGACCUGAGAGGGUGAUCGGCCACACUGGGACUGAGACACGGCCCAGACUCC